rnacentral:lncRNA from 10 species
CUGCAGUUAUAGUUCUCACAUGUGGUUGUUCCCCAUGAUAAAAACUUUAAAUUUUAACUCUAAUGUAUUUGGAAGCAACCUUAUCUGCUUGUAUCUCACAGGGAUCACUGGAUACUGCAAGGCAAUAUAGAUGGUAGACGGGCAAGAGUGGAAGGCAUCUCUCCAAUUUGAAGAAGAUGGCAAAACGUUGCCCUUGCAUAACAUCAGAAGAUCCCUAAUGUCUGCCUUGAAGAGCUCUCGACAAUAGCAGCAAUGAACUACAGGGAAAUAGAUUUUGGACUGCAAGAGGUAUAUUCCAUGAGAAAAUUAGACUACUGACUUACAAUCUGAAAGAAAAAUGUUUGAUUGAGUUCAGCAACAGAAGUGAACAAUUCAUCAAUUAUAUUAUGUCAUAAUUUUAUUCCUAAAGUUAUUAGCUUUUGGUUUUAGUAAAGUCUGUGCCUUGAAAAUGACCUUCAAUAAAUUAACAUUUUUAGCAUUUUGUAGGAAUAUUUAUUUGAAUUCUACAAAUCUCAUAUUUCAUUCUCAGACCAAUGAAUUUAUGUAGUCUUGAUUAGUAUGGAAAUAUGUUAUUUAGGUGUGAAAAGAACCAUGCUCAUUUUAUUUGAAACACUCAUUUCAUCUGACAAUAUCUUCCUAAAG